CAGCAGCCGCGGGAAUACAGAGGAUGCAAGCGUUAUCCGGAAUGAUUGGGCGUAAAGCGUCUGUAGGUGGCUUUUCAAGUCCGCCGUCAAAUCCCAGGGCUCAACCUUGGAACUGCCUUUGAUACUGUUUGUCUUGAGUUCGAGAGAGGUAAGUGGAACUGCGAGUGUAGAGGUGAAAUUCGUAGAUAUUCGCAAGAACACCAGUGGCGAAGGCGGCUUACUGGCUCGAAACUGACGCUGAGGCGCGAAAGCGUGGGGAGCAAACAGGAUUAGAUACCCGCGUAGUCCCUGUCUCUUAUAC
rnacentral:rRNA from 1 species